GUCUGGUGCCAGCAGCCGCGGUAAUUCCAGCUCCAAUAGCGUAUAUUAAAAUUGUUGCAGUUAAAAAGCUCGUAGUUGAAGUUCUGCUGAAAGUAACCGGUCUGCUUUUAAUAAAAGUGGUAUCUUGGUAUGUAUUUAGCAAUGAUGUCCUUUGAAGUGUUUUUUACUUUAUUGUAAUAAAGCAUAUUCAGGACUUUUACUUUGAGAAAAUUAGAGUGUUUCUAGCAGGCUAACGCUUUGAAUACUGCAGCAUGGAAUAAUAAGAUAGGAUUUUAGUUCUACAUUAUUGGUUUUAAGAGCUAAAUUAAUGAUUGAUAGGGACAGUUGGGGGCAUUUGUAUUUAACUGUCAGAGGUGAAAUUCUUAGAUUUGUUAAAGACAAACUACUGCGAAAGCAUUUGCCAAAGAUGUUUUCAUUAAUCAAGAACGAAAGUUAGGGGAUCGAAGACGAUCAGAUACCGU
rnacentral:rRNA from 1 species